rnacentral:rRNA from 1 species
GACGAACGCUGGCGGCGUGCUUAACACAUGCAAGUCGAGCGGUAAGGCCCUUUCGGGGGUACGACGAGCGGCGAACGGGUGAGUAACACGUGGGUGACCUGCCCUCAGUUCUGGGAUAAGCCUGGGAAACCGGGUCUAAUACUGGAUAUGACCUCAUGACGCAUGUUGUGGGGUGAAAGCCUUGUGCGAACUGAGGAUGGGCCCGCGGCCUAUCAGCUUGUUGGUGGGGUG